rnacentral:rRNA from 1 species
UACGAAGGGGGCUAGCGUUGUUCGGAUUUACUGGGCGUAAAGCGCACGUAGGCGGAUCGUUAAGUCAGGGGUGAAAUCCUGGAGCUCAACUCCAGAACUGCCUUUGAUACUGGCGAUCUUGAGUCCGGAAGAGGUGAGUGGAACUCCUAGUGUAGAGGUGGAAUUCGUAGAUAUUAGGAAGAACACCAGUGGCGAAGGGCGGCUCACUGGUCCGGUACUGACGCUGAGGUGCGAAAGCGUGGGGAGCAACAGGAUUAAGAAACCC